CUACAAGCCUUUUAAAAUAAAAGCAUAAAGAGUUUUAGGAAGAUCCAUCUUAGGUAUAGCAUGAAGUGUCUACCUAAUUAUACUAACCUAGAGUGCAAAACACCUCAUCUUCCUAUGCAUAGAUCAUCUUAGACUACUUUAGCAAACAUGAAUCGUAAAAAGCAUGCUCAAAGUUUAAACAUCAUAAAAGAAAUUUUCAUUGAUGAUAAGAAUUUAAACAAGCUCCAAAAUAAUAAAGAAAAUAAGAACUACAAUGCCCUGAUACAUUGCUAGGGCUUCAUCCAGCCCUAGACUAGACGUUU
rnacentral:lncRNA from 1 species